GUUGAAAAUCUUCUUUUCUCUCAAGACACUCUUAGAAAAGAAGAACAUAGGGGGAUCUUAAUCUCUACGCUAGAGAUCAUGAGAAGAACUCUUUUUUCUCUUUUCUUCUUACAAUUCAUGCACCAAAUCUCUACGAUAGAGAUGUAAAAUUUUUAUCCAACUUUUAGAUAAAAAAGAGAGGAGACAUCCAUGUCCCAACAUAGACAAA
rnacentral:lncRNA from 1 species